UACACAUGGGAUAAACAAACAGUGUGUGUCUAGGCCAUUAGGCACCAUUAGACAUGCACCUGUCCUGAGAAUGGGCAUGUCUGUUUAUUUUUGUACUAUUGCUAUGCCCUAAUGUGAAACCAAAAAGCUAACGGUGGCUAAAUGCCAGAGUGAAUGAAUCAUUAACAUAAAGAGGAGUUACUAUGUGUGUGAUACAAGGAUGAAACCUGUUUAAAAAGUGUGUUCCAAGGCUGGAAAGGGAGUUACUUUAUGGACCAGCUCGGCUUAUAUUACUUCUGUUAGGUUCUAAUUUUUCAGAGUAAAUAACUCACGGACACUAGAGAACCUUAACCAAGGUUAAUUCUUCCCAAUGGGUCACUGUAUUCAGACAAAAACAUGUUUCCACCACCACAAGUAUAUAUACUCCACUUUAGGCACUCCUCCUUCUCUCCAAUCCUUACAUCUAAAAUAUGUUUCCCUGUGGAAAAUGUUGCCAAUUUCUCAUCGUAAGGAAUCCACAAUAUUUGAUCCCUGGCCUCUACUAAAAAGUUAGGUAAGACAUGAUCUCAUACGUCUUCCUUCACAUAGAAACUGUAAUCUCUAUGAACUACUAUCGAUCGAACCGAGGCUAUACAACGAUAUGUGACAUUUCCUCUCCUGCUACUCUCGAGGAUUUGUUGUGGCCCUUUUGAAAACGAUGCAAACGCUUACCUGGCAAAAAAAAUUCCGAUUAUAGCAGGCUCCAUACCAACUUUACACUCCCUUUUCCAAUGACCAAAUAGCCCCACACCUAAAACAGGACUCUGUCUCCCUACGCUUUCUCCCUCCACUACAUUGGUUUAUCUUGGCCAUUGAAACUAUAGUUAGUGAUUUUUCCCUAUGGCCCUAUUACCCCUCACACGUCUGCUGAAGUGAGUUAUAUUCCACUCUCAAAAACAUCCUCUUGAAUUAAAUCCCAAUACCCCUGCAAGUAUCGUUUUGAUCACAGGGUUCAAACCUGCCACCAAAGCAGAAGUGCAAAUUCUAUCAAUGCACUCCCAUCUAUAAUACAUACCUUCUAUUAACCAUUUUCCAAGGUAGCGCUACCCACUUCCCCGGAUAAUCAUUAAUUGGUCAUGGCACUUAAAACCUUGUAUUAGAACCGAAACCGUAGCGUUUGCGAAUUUAUUACUGGAGAUGGAUGACUUUUAAUGUAUUUUUCCCGUAUUGCCUCAACUAUCACUAUUAUUGAUAACACACGUCACCAAAAUGAUUAAUACUUGCUUUCCUAUUUCCACAUAGCCUUUCAUGGUUCCCCCUUAUAGGGCAUAAACCAACCUCUCUCCGAAUUGAUACUGCUACUACAUGUAAUUCAAACUGUGAUUUUUCCAUUUUGUUUUUUAACUCACUGGCUUCUAGAACUCUCAUCUUACAAAAACUCACUAGUUGCUAGAACUCUUGUCUUCUGCCUGCUCCAUUUUACCGUGCAGAUCUUUCUUUUUUUUUUUUCUAGUUUUAUCCGCUGCUGAUAAAAUGCUGUGAUUAGGAUGUGUUGGUGUUCAAAUACUGGAGAGUGAGACCAAAUCAUGGACGCUGGACAGAGUGGAUUUUAGUAGUAACAAAAAGGCAGUUUAUUGAGUCAAAGAUAUCUUGUCCGGCAGUAAAGCGUGCACGGACCUAGUCAUAUGACUCAGUAAGGAGUCAGCUGAAAAGGGUGCUUUGCCAGAGUUUACAGCAGAAUGUAUACACAGAAUAAUGUAGGUGGAGUCUGGCAGUUUAUGGCUGGGGCUAGGGUGCUUCCUGUUUUGACAGGGGUGCGUGCAAUGACUUGAGUCAGGCGGAUUAGAUAACUGUUUGUGCGGUUAGUAUCCUUGUGACAAUGGGGAACCAUGUUUUGUGCAACAGCAGUCUUGUGUCUCAGUCAUGGGGUGUGUUGUGCAGGUUUUAAUCCUAUGGUCACAAGCAGGCUCUAAAGCAGCCUGAGGGCACUAAGGCCACUUAAAUGAUGCAUAAUAUAUGUGCUUGAUAUAUGAGCUAUGUAUAUGAAUAUAUGUAUAUAUGACAGAUGCCUGUAUUGUGGUUUGGACCGUUCCCUGAUCUCAGUGUUCCACAUUACGAUUUCAUCCUUACACUCUUGCCUGGUUUAAAAAUUUCCAUCUACUGGAAAAUGUGUACCAAUUUUUUCCAAUUUAGUACAUUUUCCCAAACAUUUAUUUGGUUCUUAGUUUUGAUCAUAUGCUUUUUUUGUGCCUCUAAGGCUAUGGUAACAUUUUCCUUUUCUACUCCUCCCUCCCCAGGAGUAUCCUAGCCUCUAGAAACCAUUUCAGUUCUUAUUAGCACGGCGUCACCACACAAUGGCGUUAAGUAAUAACAGUGUAGCCUAUUAGUAAUUUAGUCACCUUUUAUCCUUGAACCACCUUCUCUCUUUCCUGCUACUGUUACUACAGACUAUGGUUGUCCAAACAUUCAUACACCCAAACACACCUCUGACUUCAUGGCCAUUGUGGCUGGGACUUUUGUCUCUCUUACAGAUCUUGCAAGGGAAUUCCCCCACUAGGGACCUAUCCUUCAUGGACCCUACCCGACACUGUAAUGACACCCAUGGAUCUCGCAGAGAAUCACACACCCACUUGGGACCUAUCCUUAUGAAACCUACCCUACACCAGAUAUUUAUCUCGAUGUCACAGAGGAAAACCUCUACUCGGGACCUAUCCUUAUGAAACCUACCCUACACCAGAUAUUUCCGGUCAUUACACAAUGGGCCUACCGAAUUAAACUCAGGUUCUCCAGGUCCGUAUCCUAUAAUUGUUACCCCUGUAGGGUGGUAGGGUCCCAAAGACCCUCCCCAUUAUUGAUUAAGGGGACCUUAAGAUUCCUAUUCUUGUCUCACUAUUGUACUGUUGCUAUGUUUGUGAACUCUGCCACUAUACUUUGCACAAGCUAUCUAUAUUAGUCUUUAGUGUUAAGCCCUAAUGGUGCACGAGUGUGCUUGCAGGCCGGGUGUGAGUCAGACUGAAACUAGAUAAAGAGAAACUAGAUAAAGAGUCUGGUUUUGACAUUUUGAUCUUGUGUGACAGGGGACAAUGCUAAUUAAUUCAGAGAAGCUACUGUACUAGGUUACCUCAGCUUAUUACUGCACAUAUACAUUGAGGUAGGUGAUCACACCACUUGGGAGUGAUCACAUGUAUAUAAUCAGCUGUGCCCUUUGGUUGGUUGCAGAACGUACUCUGAGACAUACAUGCUGUGUUUCUAUUGCUAACAUCUGUCUGCAAUUGCAUUAAUAAAGGUUUGAUAUGUUUACUUAAAGAAAAUAUUGCCUGACUGCUGUUUUCACCAAUAAGCCAAUGAUUUGACAAGGAACAAGGAACCUACCCCGACACCCCCAACACUGUACAUAAUACAGUUGUUAUUGUUCUCUCUCUACUCCCAUCCUCUAUCUCUGUCCCUCUAUCCCUUAUCUCCACCUCUCCCUCUCAUCUUUCUCUGCCUACCUCCUCCCUUUGUUUAUUUCUCUCUCUACCCCCUUCUCACGUUUUACCUCUCCCCCUUCUCUCCUCUCUCUCAGAGGGAGGUGUUCAAGGCAUUUGCCGCACUCUUCCAGGCAGCCGGCCCCCCUGCGGUUUGUGUGCCUACCCCUCCUCCCAGGCCAUCUACGCUGUAGACCCAAUGCUCAAGUGGGGCACUGGGGACAAAGGUGAGGCCUGGGUGUAUUACAGCAUAUGUUGGCGUGUACGUUUUGUGUACCUCCCCGCGUGUGUAUGUGUGAGAGCUCUACGUUCCUCACACAUUCACAAGAUGGGCUAACUGUAUACACUGUGAGAACAGGAGGAGAGCUAGUCUGGCCUUGAACUGGCUACAGUCUCAGAAACAAUAGAUAGGCUAACUGUUAUUGUCCACGUUCCCAUCCCACUCAUGGUUUACACACAGAUUUGUGCCUACGCUCGAUUGAUAAAUGAGGCCUUGUAAGUAAGCAUUUCACGGUGAGGUCGGUGCAUGUGACUUAAUCUAGCUUAAUCUAGCUGAGGCUAGUUCAAGGUCAGACCAGCUGUCCUCCUGUUGCCAUGGCGUAUACAUGGCAACUGUGAUAGAUGGUACUGCCGUUGUAAGGAAAGGAGGGGGAGCAGUGGAGGACCAGCAGCAGAUGAAUAAAACAGUAACACGUGUGUAUGCAUUAGGUUGUUACUCUGUAUUUUGUCCCUAUAUUUACAGACCUAAAACUCAUGUAUGGCUACUGGUCUUGUUGAGAAUAAUACAUUUUUUCAAGGUGUGGAAAAUGCUGGAUAACAGGAUAAAGCAAACACGCUUUUAUAUUUUAAAAGGUUUAAUAGACUCACACGUGCAUGUGGAGAGACACACGUCCCUCUGAAGGUCUGUACCAAUCUACUGAAGGACAAACCACUCAUUACAUAAUCAUCUUAUCUCUAUUCGCUCUCCAAUUGCUUCGACACUGGUCAAAACAUCUCCACCCUCUGGGUCAGAGUAAACUCUCAUUUGAAUGUGUCUAUAGCUGAUUACAGCUAUCGGCCUUAGCUUCAAAAAGGUCACCUAGUUCUAUUUUAUGAUGAUGACUCCUAAUCUCAGGAGGGGGAGCAGCGGAGGACCAGCAGCAGCUGUAUAACAUUUUGUGGACAUAAAAAAUGUACGACCCAACAGGCUAGGAGGGUGAGAGUGCUGUUGGUUAGUUGUCUUCUGUUAUUUCAAAUGUGGUCCUGUGUGGCUCAGUUGGUAGAGCAUGGCGCUUGGAAUGCCAAGGGCUAUGGGUUCCAACUUUGCUGGGGUCACCCAUGCGUUAAAAGGUGAACGUGUGAUGAAGCUUCAGAUCCUGGAGGUGAACUUCAGUCCAGACUGCGCCCGGGCCUGCUUCUACGACCACAUGUUCCAAACCCUCUUCCUAAAUGAGGCUGAUCACUGCCCUGUCACUCAGGUCUCAUGAUGACCUCUAACCCCAGACCUCAAACCCUUCCAUAUUAUGCAGUUGAAAAGGUCCAUUUGGAAAAUGUGUAUUUCCUCUUUUUAGUGGAAUUCGAUAUUGAGUGACGGUCUGGACCAGAGGUGCCAAAUACAUUUUGCCCUAUGGGCCGCAUUCGUUCUCCACCGAGGUCUUAAAAUUGACUGUAUUUCCUCGCCAUCAACAUUUGCAAAUAAAUUGUUUUUAAAACA